AACGAACGCUGGCGGCAUGCCUAACACAUGCAAGUCGAACGAGACCUUCGGGUCUAGUGGCGCACGGGUGCGUAACGCGUGGGAACCUGCCCUUAGGUUCGGAAUAACUCCCCGAAAGGGGUGCUAAUACCGGAUAAUGUCUUCGGACCAAAGAUUUAUCGCCUUUGGAUGGGCCCGCGUUGGAUUAGCUAGUUGGUAGGGUAAAAGCCUACCAAGGCGACGAUCCAUAGCUGGUCUGAGAGGAUGAUCAGCCACACUGGGACUGAGACACGGCCCAGACCCCUACGGGAGGAAGCAGGGGGGAAAUUUGGAAAAGGGGCGAAAGCCUGACCCAGCAUUGCCGGGGGAGGGAUGAAGGCCUUAGGGUUGAAAAGCUUUUUUCCCCGGGAUGAAAAGGACAGUACCGGGAGAAAAAGCCCCGGCUAACUCCGU
rnacentral:rRNA from 1 species